rnacentral:lncRNA from 1 species
AGGAGCAACUCCAUUGAGAGGUUCAACUGUUCCAAUUCGCACAUUAUCCACUAGCGCAACAUGUUCAUUAUGCAACUGCAACAAGACAUUGCAUGAAUGAGAUCAACUGUAUCAGAAGAAAUAACUGAGGUGUAGUGCACGCUCAAUCUCCUGACCCAUGGGAGCUUUCAUUUUAGAAGUGUGUGUAGUCUGCUACAUUUUGAGCUUUUCACUUCUCUGUGAUGACCUUCUUUGAUAUAUCAUGCUACUUUGGUUUAUGUUACAGGGAAGCGACAGAAAAUGAAGGAACAAACAACAUGCUUCUCUUACCUUUGCUUUGGUGGCCGAGUCAUCCAAUAAUGCACAAUUUGGUUUGAUAUUUUUGGCUGCAAGUUCUUGCUUUUUGACCUCUAAAAACCUC